UACAAAAAAGAAAAUAAAUACCCGAUUUUUGUUAUUGAAACGUUGAAAGUUCCCCUGGGAAGAGCAGGCAGGGUUUGCCCCAGCCGGGGCUGCUCCAGCUGCAGCCAGAGAUGUGCUGAGCCUUCCCAGACAACAAAAGCGCUCUGGCUGCCUGAUUUCCCUCUGCCUUAUCUCCCUCGGCGAUAGCCAGGUUAUCGGGAAAUGGAAAAGGGCUCAGGACAGCCUGACCCCAAUCCCGGGGGACAGGAGAUGGUGGCGGGUGCGGGGGCGAAGCUCUGCAUGGCCGGGGGCUGUCAGCACUCAUGGUCCCAUCCUUUCUCUCCCCCUGACACCUUCCUUGCAUGAAGUGGGGUGGGCAAAACCUCCGUGGGGAGCGGCUUUGGGGCCGGGUGGGCCCGGGGAGCUCCGGUCCCUCCCGGGGCAGGGCUGGGCUGGGCUGGGCUGGGCGGUGGGAGAGCAGCCCCGGCCCCGCGCUUGUCACCCAGACAAGAGAUCAAUAACUAAUUUCACUGCAGCAGCAGCGCCGGGUUUUUUCCAAUAAUUGUGAGCCGGCGGUGGGGAAUGAGGCUCUCAGCACCGCUCCACACCAGCCUGCACCCGAUCAAUCGCCACACCGCUGGGGCAGCAGGAAAACUCAUUUUUCUCCUUUUCUUCCCUCUCCUCCCUUCUCUCCUUCCCGAUCCCACUCCGUUCCCUCCUCCUCCUGCUGUGGCGCUGCCUGAGCUGGGGCUGUGUCCCCAUCCCCUCGCUGGGUGGGAUGUCAGCUUGGGCUGUCCCCAGCUGGCCCCACACGCUGGGGACAAGGGCUGAGCCUCCUGUGCUGCCUCAGCAGCCCGGAGCACUUCGGUCCCUGCCACCCAGGGGCUGGACCCGGCUCCUUGUGCACAGCACCGGCCCCAGCAGCGUGGGUGAAGGUGGCAGAGUGCCUCAGUUUCCCUCUAUAUCUAUAACAGAGGAGUCUGACGACAUCCUUUCCUGCUCCUGCCCUUGCUGUUGUGAGCCACCAUGAGCUCCAAGGCAGAAGGUGUUGCUGGUUCCCAGCUCACAGGAGAACCUUUGGAACCACCCUCACCAGAGACCACAGUGGACAAAAUCAAAUCUUUAAAGGCUCAAGGAGCUCGGCACCAUUAACAUUCACUCCCAACGCGUGUGAGCUGUGCUGCAUCCCCAAGUGCUGCUCCUGCUGCCAGCCCUGGUACCCAGCCUGGCCAUCAGCUUCUCCUUCCAACAGCCUGGCCUGAGAGAGCCCCUCCACCCCCUAAAUCCACACCUGGAGUCCCCUAAAUCUACACCUGGAAUCCCCCACAUCCACACCUGGAAUCCCCCACACCCACACCUGGAAUCCCACAGCUGGAAUCCCCCACAUCCACACCUGGCUGCUGUCACAGCACAGCAAAGGAGGAUGGCAUCCUGAGCUCCAGCUCUGCUCUGCAGAUUAAAGCCAAGGGGCUCUGGGAAGAACACCCAAGGCAGAGGAAUGGCCAAGAGUUACCGGGUUUGGUGAUUUAAGUCAAGCAGAUUGGUGACCUGGGGCUUUCCUGGAGUGACAAUUUGCAGGCUUGCUUUUCAUUAAUAACGGUUAACUAACAAAUUACUGUUGUUAUUAUUACUAUUAUUACUGUUAUUAUCAUUAAUGUUAUUAAAUAUUGCAGGCCAGGCUGCCUUCCCUGUGCUUGGCACAGCCUCA